rnacentral:rRNA from 1 species
CCAGACUCCUACGGGAGGCAGCAGUGAGGAAUAUUGGUCAAUGGGCUUACGCCUGAACCAGCCAAGUCGCGUGAGGGAAGACGGCCCUACGGGUUGUAAACCUCUUUUGUCGGGGAGCAAAGAGAGUCACGUGUGACUCAUUGAGAGUACCCGAAGAAAAAGCAUCGGCUAACUCCGUGCCAGCAGCCGCGGUAAUACGGAGGAUGCGAGCGUUAUCCGGAUUUAUUGGGUUUAAAGGGUGCGCAGGCGGAGGUGCAAGUCAGCGGUAAAAUCGUGGGGCUCAACUCCAUCCAGCCGUUGAAACUGAUGAUCUUGAGUGGGCGAGAAGUAUGCGGAAUGCGUGGUGUAGCGGUGAAAUGCGUAGAUAUCACGCAGAACUCCGAUUGCGGAGGCAGCAUACCGGCGCCCGACUGACGCUGAAGCACGAAAGCGUGGGUAUCGAACAGGAUUAGAUACCCUAGUACC